CCUACGGGUGGCUGCAGUGGGGGAUAUUGCACAAUGGGGGGAACCCUGAUGCAGCGACGCCGCGUGGGUGAAGGAGUGCUUCGGCAUGUAAAGCCCUAUCGGCAGGGAAGAAGCAAGACGGUACCUGACUAAGAAGCUCCGGCUAACUACGUGCCAGCAGCCGCGGUAAUACGUAGGGGGCGAGCGUUAUCCGGAUUUACUGGGUGUAAAGGGAGCGUAGACGGCGCGGCAAGUCUGAAGUGAAAGGCAGGGGCUUAACCCCUGAACUGCUUUGGAAACUGCCAUGCUAGAGUGCUGGAGAGGUAAGUGGAAUUCCUAGUGUAGCGGUGAAAUGCGUAGAUAUUAGGAGGAACACCAGUGGCGAAGGCGGCUUACUGGACAGUAACUGACGUUGAGGCUCGAAAGCGUGGGGAGCAAACAGGAUUAGAUACCCGGGUAGUC
rnacentral:rRNA from 1 species